UGUUCAUGAUUAGGAUAGCUUCUUACCAAAUCCUUAAAUCGCUCCCAAGCUUCAUAGAAAAGUUGCCCCGAUUGUUGUUCAAAUUGAGAAGCUCACCUCUCAAUGU